AACAAACGCUGGCGGCGUGUCUUAAGCAUGCAAGUCGAGCGGCAAGGGCAGCAAUGCCCCUAGAGCGGCGGACUGGUGAGUAACGCGUGGGUGAUCUACCUUGGGCAUGGGGAUAGCCAUUAGAAAUAGUGGGUAAUACCGAAUACGUUCGUUAUCGUGAGGGUAACGAGGAAAGGCGCUACGGCGCCGGCCUGAAGAUGAGCUUGCGUCCCAUUAGCUAGUUGGUGAGGUAACGGCCCACCAAGGCGAUGAUGGGUAGCCGGCCUGAGAGGGUGUACUGCCACACUGGGACUGAGAUACGGCCCAGACUCCUACGGGAGGCAGCAGCUAAGAAUAUUCCGCAAUGGACGAAAGUCUGACGGAGCGACGCCGCGUGGAUGAAGAAGGCCGAAAGGUUGUAAAGUCCUUUUGCUGGGGAAGAAUAAGUCUGGGAGGGAAUGCCCGGAUGAUGACAUGAACCGGCGAAUAAGCCCCGGCUAACUACGUGCCAGCCGCCGCAGUAACAC
rnacentral:rRNA from 1 species